rnacentral:rRNA from 1 species
GGGUUCACCCAUUGGUCAGGCUUAAUUGUCUGCACUGGUGAAAUGAGUCUCUACCUUCUGAGGAACUUUCAUGUCAUUAAUUUGGUGUGAUCGGAAAUCAGGACUGUUACUUUGAAAAAAUUAGAGCGUUUAAAGCAGGCUAACGUCUGAAUACAUUAGCAUGGAAUAAUGAAAUAGGACGGACUGAUUCUAUUUCGUUGGUUUCUAGGAUCACCGUA